rnacentral:lncRNA from 1 species
CAAUAGCAUGACGCCAUUUUACAGUUGCGCUGCAUCACGCGCGAGUACGUUGCGGUUGAGUGGUUCUGAAAUCGCUGCGUUAGGGGCGACUGCAACCAGGCGUUGCGGCAAGUUAUGGUGGGAGCUUCUGUCCGUGCUGUGGGAUUGCGACGAGGGGGACCGCCGCCAGCAGCAGCGUGUCGCCGAUUUCGUCUUUGCCGACAUCGAGCAAGUGCAGCUCGCCGGACCGUCACAAGCGCCCGAAGUGCUGCGGUUUGCACUGCAUCUUUCAUUGUGAUAUGGGAGAUCGCAAAGGACAGAGACGACCAGAUGCAUACGAACGACUACCAGCGGGGAGUGACCUGUGCCAUAUUUCUCUUAACGUCUCAGGUAUUCAAGAAAUGGCAACAGCCAGAAGUCGCCAUCUUAUCCAGCACGUUAUGGGUACACUCUGGCGGCUCCUACCCCUGCGUCCUACCACCACCCUGUCCCGACUACGUCCACUAGGGAGUUAAAAGCCUUUGGCGGCUUCUGCCACUGCAUCCUGCCACCACCAUGUCCCGACCACGUCCACUAGGGAGUUGGCAGCCUUAGUGAUGAUGCCAAGCAGGCUGACAGCAGACAGAAAUAUUCAGGUUGCCUUGAAAUUUUACCCAAGCCAUGCCACAUACUCGGGCCAGGCCUCUUGCGAACCACGUAUAACCAGGCUCAACGCAUCACUGUUGAGUGAGUCCGGAGAUCAAGGAAACCUGCUGUGCAACCAUCGCGCAACACUUGGUGACCCCUCUACGUGUUCCAUCUAUCCAAACAGCAUCACCAGCUGUUUCUUAUCUUAUCGAUCACUUAUCGAACCAUGGAUGAAUGUUGGGGUGGAGUGAUUUGAACAGACAUUCUAUUUGUCUCUUCAAAUUCUUUGCAAAUAUUUCUAUUAUUAUAAUUCAUAUGUUUCUUUAGUACCUAGUUUUUAAUAGUUCCUUUCUCCAAGAGU